AAAAAAAUUACAAAUACCUAGCAAUAAUUCAGCAGUUUUGGCCUAUCUAUCACACAAAAAUGCAUUUGUUUGAGGUUUUUAUAACAUUAACAAGUCUAUAUUGCGCUGUCUAUUGCCAUGUGGUGUCGCAUCCACGAGAAAUUUUAACUCGUGGGACUCAUGAAAAAGAGCAUGACUUUUUUCAUGCUAAUGAAAAGGAUGAAGACAGAAGUUUGAAUGAAGUUGAUCAGGAGAAUAGUAUUGCUAAUGGAGAUUCAAAAUGUAUGCCUCUGAUUUCU